GGCUGCCGGCUGCUGGCUGCCGGCUGCUGGCUGCUGGCUGCUGGCUGCCGGCUGCUGGCUUGAACGAGCCUCACUCAGCUUGUGAUGAAUUUGAACCAACCAGCAGAUGUAGCUGAUAGAAGUCGCCUUAUUUAGCCCCGUUUUCAGGUUCCGAGACUGAAGAACCUCCGUUUGUAGCGAUGAAGUCAUGAACACUGACCUGAACCUCGGGAUUCUGGUUGUCACCCUCCAUUCCGCUCUUGUAGUGGUCCUGGUCUCAGAUCCAGCAGGUCUCCUCUCGGACUGUCUGCGCUGUCAAAGCACAGGAGCGCUGCGGGAUCCCGUGGAGCGCCGUGUUCUCGCGAUGUUUGGUUACUGUUGCUAAGACUGCAUCCUACAAAUCAGUAAUCUGCACUUCCCAAAGACCUCGUACAGCUCCGUCUGUAAAGUAGGUUCAAAAUGAAGAGUUCACUAUCAUUGUGGGCACCGAUCAGAACGCGUGGAACAAGCCAGGAGACUUCAGUCCUCUGAACAAAGUUUAUCUUCUCUAAAAGGUUGCAUUUAUGAACAUAUAGGGGGAUGAAAAAAACACACGUGGGCUGUUGAAUCUGAAAGAAAAACAAAGAUUAGAAAUAAACAUCAACUUAGUCUCA